rnacentral:rRNA from 1 species
UACGGGGGGUGCGAGCGUUGUCCGGAAUCACUGGGCGUAAAGGGCGCGUAGGUGGCGUCGUAAGCCUGUGGUGAAAGCCCGGAGCUCAACUCCGGGUCUGCCGCGGAUACUGCGAGGCUUGAGUGCUGUAGAGGGGGGUAGAAUGCCGGGUGUAGCGGUGGAAUGCGUAGAGAUCCGGCAGAAGACCGGUGGCGAAGGCGGCCCCCUGGGCAGUAACUGACACUGAGGCGCGACAGCGUGGGGAGCAAACAGG